rnacentral:misc_RNA from 1 species
AUUUCAUUUACAUGUUUUCAAGCUGCAAGUCCAGACCUAAUCCAAGAGUCAAGAUCAACAAUCUGCAACUUAAUUCACUCAGUGGACAAACUGCAUGCAGCUAGCCCAUGUGAGAAGAAGAACCUAGUUAUGUUCUCAGGAUCUUAUGAAAGCAGAGAGACGAGAGAGACAAACUCCAGUGUUACACGACCCUUGGACCUCGUGUUGAUGACAAAAUG